CUUACUAUUACUAGCGAUUAACAUGACGAAACAACACGAACUAAGCUAACAUUAGACUAUAAAGCAAACACUUUUGGCGGGUAAAGGGUUAACUGACUUCAAAAAGUAAACACUGUCAAUGGUGAAAUUGUCCAGAUCAUUAGAUUAACAUUAAUCUUUACUCUUUUUCUCGAACAUCUUAUAGAUCCACCCUGGGUACCGUCGUAUUUUAAAAUAAUAAAUACAAGCAAUGGAUACAUUUCUGGAUUUGUCCAGACUCAAAAAGAAUUGGAGAGUCUGCUGGAGGUCCACUCAAGGGCCACACUGACAUCGUUUGUCAAAUGGUCUGAACACAUAAAAGAUGGCACCAAAGAGAGGCAUCUAUGGCAGGUGGAGGAUUUCAAUGAAGACACCCCUCUAUGUGUAAAGAAAAGAAUGGUCCUUGCUUGUCAGCAUGGCAAAGCUCGACAGAAAAAAGAAAAGGUACGUAAACAGUAUAGUAAACAAACCCUCCUGUCUGGACCCUCAAAUCAGAGAAACUUUGGUCUGUGGGUCCUGUAGACUUAUAAUUGAACACCCCUGAUCUAAAGUAACACACACUCACACACCCCUGUUACUUUAGAUCAGCGGUGUUCAAUUAUAAGUCUACAGGGUCCACCGACCAAAGUUUCUCUGAUUCGAGGGUCCAGACAGGCACAGGUCAACUGUUCAAAUUACAUGAAAAACAGAAUUACAUAACAUUUUGUGGAUUUAAUAAUUUUUUGCUGCAAUGUCUUCAGUUUUAAUGGAUGUCAAAUAGGUGCAGGCCUAUGCAAAAUCUACACCUGACUUGUCUUGCACUUGUACAACUUGAAAACCGACAUUGUAUUGAAAUCUCAUUAUUUAUCUUGUCUAGGAGAAACGUUCAGCAGAGCAUGUAUACACAAAAAAACGUUUUCAUGUCCAAAAUGGGAAGAAGUUGGACUGCCCAGCUAAACUUUUCAUUCGGCAUGUGCUGAGGUAAGCUUUUUUCAACCGCUCUGUCUCCUUUGCAGGAGAAAUCCAGUGUGAAUCGAUCAAUAGUGAAAGUGAUCUGAUUGAUCAAUAUUGUCAAUCAGACCAUGGGGUAGAUUAAUUUUUGCUUGCUUGUUUGUUUUGCUUUUUAGAUAUGACUCAUUCAGUGUGAGAGGGGAUGCCACAA
rnacentral:lncRNA from 1 species